ACGUCAACAUAGAAGCCUUUCUGUGAUAUAAUUGAGUAAGUGCUUUUAUGUUGAAGUGG
rnacentral:pre_miRNA from 1 species